UCCGAGUUGUCCCCGGCAGUCUCCUUAGAGUCCCCACCAUUACGUGCUGGCAACUAAGGACAGGGGUUGCGCUCGUUGCGGCACUUAAGCCAACACCUCACGGCACGAGCUGACGACAGCCAUGCAGCACCUGUGCCAGCCCCUUACGGACACGGGCUUUCACCCGCUUUAACUAGCAUGUCAAGCCUAGGUAAGGUUCUUCGCGUUGCAUCGAAUUAAGCCACAUGCUCCGCCGCUUGUGCGGGUCCCCGUCAAUUCCUUUGAGUUUUAGCCUUGUGGCCGUACUCCCCAGGCGGAACACUUAUCGCGUUGGCUGCGGCACGGGGGGAUUCGACUCCCCCCACACCUAGCACCCAUCGUUUACGGCUGGGACUAC
rnacentral:misc_RNA from 1 species